UACGGAGGGGGCAAGCGUUGUCCGGACUUACUGGGCGUAAAGCGUACGUAGGCGGUCGUAUGCGUCGGUGCUGAAAGCCCCCGGCUUAACCGGGUGAGGUGCGGCGAUACGAUACGACUCGAGGGAGUGAGAGGUUGGUAGAAUUCCGGGUGUAGUGGUGAAAUGCGUAGAGAUCCGGAGGAAUACCGGUGGCGAAAGCGACCAACUGGCACUCACCUGACGCUGAGGUACGAAAGCGUGGGGAG
rnacentral:rRNA from 1 species